rnacentral:ribozyme from 14 species
UGUCCAAAUAUAUUUGCACUAAGCUGACAGGAUGCACAAAAGAAGUCUCGAACGCAGUGGUCAUCUGCGUUCGAUUCCGUGUAGUUUUUCUAUUUUUUUUGUCUUUUUCUUUCUCUUCGUAGUCAAAAUUUCAGAGUGGUUUCUAUAA